UACGAAGGGGGCUAGUGUUGCUCGGAAUUACUGGGCGUAAAGCGCACGUAGGCGGCUUUGUAAGUUAGAGGUGAAAGCCCAGGGCUUAACCCUGGAAUUGCCUUUAAGACUGCAUCGCUAGAAUCGUGGAGAGGUGAGUGGAAUUCCGAGUGUAGAGGUGAAAUUCGUAGAUAUUCGGAAGAACACCAGUGGCGAAGGCGACUCACUGGACACGUAUUGACGCUGAGGUGCGAAAGCGUGGGGAGCAAACAGG
rnacentral:rRNA from 1 species